UACGGAGGGUGCGAGCGUUGUCCGGAAUCACUGGGCGUAAAGGGCGCGUAGGUGGCGUCGCAAGUCGGUGGUGAAAGCUCGGCGCUCAACGCCGAGUCGGCCCUCGGGACUGCGAGGCUGGAGCACUGUAGAGGCAGAUGGAAUUCCGGGUGUAGCGGUGGAAUGCGUAGAGAUCCGGAAGAACACCAGUGGCGAAGGCGGUCUGCUGGGCAGUAGCUGACACUGAGGCGCGACAGCGUGGGGAGCAAACAGG
rnacentral:rRNA from 1 species